GGAGAGGUGGCAGAGCGGUUGAAUGCACCGGUCUUGAAAACCGGCAAGGGCGAAAGUCCUUCGUGGGUUCAAAUCCCACCCUCUCCGCCA
rnacentral:tRNA from 1 species